AGAGUUUGAUCCUGGCUCAGGAUGAACGCUAGCUACAGGCUUAACACAUGCAAGUCGAGCGGGACCCUUUCGGGGGUCUAGCGGCAAACGGGUGAGUAACACGUAUCCAACCUUUCCCUUACUUGGGGAUAGCCUUUAGAAAUGAAGAGUAAUACCCGAUGUGGUGCGAUUAUCGCAUGUUCAUUGCACCAAAGAUUCAUCGGUAAGGGGUGGGGAUGCGUUCCAUUAGGUAGUAGGCGGGGCAACGGCCCACCUAGCCGAUGAUGGAUAGGGGUUCUGAGAGGAAGGUCCCCCACAUUGGAACUGCGACACGGUCCAAACUCCUACGGGAGGCAGCAGUGAGGAAUAUUGGUCAAUGGGCGAGAGCCUGAACCAGCCAAGUAGCGUGCAGGAUGACGGCCCUAUGGGUUGUAAACUGCUUUUGUGCGGGAAUAACGUGCUCCACGUGUGGGGCAGUGCAUGUACCGUACGAAUAAGGAUCGGCUAACUCCGUGCCAGCAGCCGCGGUAAUACGGAGGAUCCGAGCGUUAUCCGGAUUUAUUGGGUGUAAAGGGUGCGUAGAUGGGAAAUUAAGUUAGUUGUGAAAUCCCUCGGCUCAACUGAGGAACUGCAACUAAAACUGAUUUUCUUGAGUGCAGGAGAGGAAAGUGGAAUUCCUAGUGUAGCGGUGAAAUGCGUAGAUAUUAGGAGGAACACCAGUGGCGAAGGCGACUUUCUGGACUGUAACUGACAUUGAGGCACGAAAGUGUGGGGAGCAAACAGGAUUAGAUACCCUGGUAGUCCACACUGUAAACGAUGGAUACUAGGUGUAGGGAAUAUUAAGUUUUCUGUGCCGUCGCAAACGCAGUAAGUAUCCCACCUGGGGAGUACGACCGCAAGGUUGAAACUCAAAGGAAUUGACGG
rnacentral:rRNA from 1 species